AGAAGACCGAGAGCCACCACAAGGCCAAGGGGAAGUGAUUUGGCAAGCAUCUUCGUUUCCGGAAGCGUUUUCAAACCCAAAGGCUCUUUUCAGAGCCCCCCCACCAAUUCAAUAGAAGAGCUAAUACCACUCUUUAAGCUUAAGGGGAAAAAUUGGCAAAGUAGAAAAUCCCUUCAGAAAAUCUAAUUUGCGCUGGCAUCUUAUUUGGAGAGCUUCAAAGAAACACCGAAGGUGCCAAUUGACCGGCUCUUACCUAAGAGCUACUGCCAGAAGGCUCUCUGGAGGACAUUCCUCAAAGAUCCGUCCUAGCUCCCCCCCCCCAACAUGCUUCUUUUUUCCUUUUACUUUGAAGCAUCACUGUUUAUAUCCAAAAGCCCUGGUUACAUCUUUGGAAAAUUCUCCAGUGAGCAAUAAAUUCUCAGUAGCUUCAGUUGGUUUCCAGCCGUUGAGCAGGUCUCCAUCCGCCAUGCCUCAAGGGUCCCGGGGAGGACCAUUUCAAUUGGGACAAGUUCAUGAGAGCGAUAAACCCAGGCCUUCCAAUUACUGAGGCACCUGGACACCAGGGACAGAAGUUGAUCUCAGGGGUUUACUGAGGCGUGAGGCUAAGACAGAAUCAUUAUUUGAAUAUAUAUAGGGCAUUCCUAACAAAGCAGAUCAGUACGACACAAUAUAGCCAAUUAGAAAAUCCCUUUUUAUAUUUCCAAAUCACCUAUGCAGCUUUCCUUUCCUCCGUCCCCCAUACAGUCACUUACCAGUUUUUUAUGUAUCAUUGGAACUCUUUUUUUAUGAGGAUGAUACAUUUUAUAAUUAGUUAUAAAAAUUGUAUGUAUUUUCAAGUCGAUUACAUUACUGUCUAAGGGUUUGUCAUCUUUUGAUUGUAAGUUAUAAUUAUAAAUGUAAAUAUUCCUGUUAAAUAUAAUGCAUGUGUAAUAUUAGAAGAUGUUAGGAAUUUAACUGAGGAUUACCCAUGCAUGCUGAAAUCGAGAAUAAGGCCUCAUAUGUAGACUAUGACAUGCAAACUUGAAAAUAGAGUGAAGUUGCAGGCAUGGGAUUGGUGUAGUCUGCUUAAAAAAUAGCAGCACUUCAUUGGACUGCGUUACAUUGCCCCUGUUUGCUUCAGUUGUACUCUGGGCAGGGCGGCGGAACCAGCAUCCCUUGGGGCUUAAGACUAAUGCACGUCAGUAGAGUUGGGGCUCCUGGUGAAAGAAGCAAGUUGCUAAGCUUCAGACUUUGCUGUAGGUUGUUUGUCUGCCACCUGGAGCUUCAACCUUGAGCACAUUCCUCAUCGUCAGAAACACCAGGCGGUGGCAGGUGAGCAAGUCCAUUCCCUCCUGCCUUUGGUGAUAGCCAGAGCCGGGAGCACUGGGCUUGACCUGACACCACAACAAACUGUCUUUGCAUUAAAGAUGGGUCUCAAGGAGGCCAGACCAUCAAAUCACGUGCUCUAAAUUUUAGAACCUUGGAGCUUGGUACUAGCUCCUAUUCUUGAUGGUUUCAUCAAUAGUGCAGUUUUAAAGCCCACCUGGUAAACUUCCAAGUUUACGUCUCCAGCCUUGCCCUCUCCUACAACGUGCAGAUGUGUGUACACACAUUUCUCCUUAACGCCUUCACUUGGAACUCUCUUCUCAACUGAAAGAUGUCUAAGAUACAGGAAUUGACCCCGUAUACC
ensembl:lncRNA